rnacentral:rRNA from 12 species
AUGGGCUAUGGGGUCCCAACGACUUACUGAUCCUAACCAAACUCCGAAUACCCGGAAGUAAUAAUUGGCAGACACACUGCGGGUGCUAACGUCCGUAGUGGAGAGGGCAACAACCCUGACCUCCAGUUAAGGUCCCCAAGUCAUGGCUAAGUGGGAAAGGAUGUGAGACUCCCAAAACAACCAGGAUGUUGGCUUAGAAGCAGCCAUCAUUUAAAGAAAGCGUAACAGCUCACUGGCCUAAACAUAAGGCGCCAUAGAUUUUGAGGGCUCAAACUUUUUACCGAAAUCGUAAUUUUUGCAGACAAAAAGGUAGCA